UACAGAGGGGGCGAGCGUUGUUCGGAAUUACUGGGCGUAAAGGGCGCGUAGGCGGCCCGCUAAGUCGAACGUGAAAUCCCCAGGCUCAACCUGGGAACUGCGUCUGAUACUGGGAGGCUUGAGUGCGGGAGAGGGAUGUGGAAUUCCGGGUGUAGUGGUGGAAUGCGUAGAGAUCCGGAGGAACACCAGCGGCGAAGGCGGCAUCCUGGACUGGUCCUGACACUCAUGAGCGAAAGCGUGGGGAGCGAGUCCGG
rnacentral:rRNA from 1 species